rnacentral:rRNA from 1 species
GAUGAACGCUGGCGGCGUGCCUAAUACAUGCAAGUCGAGCGAGUGGAUUAAGAGCUUGCUCUUAUGAAGUUAGCGGCGGACGGGUGAGUAACACGUGGGUAACCUGCCCAUAAGACUGGGAUAACUCCGGGAAACCGGGGCUAAUACCGGAUAAUAUUUUGAACUGCAUGGUUCAAAAUUGAAAGGCGGCUUCGGCUGUCACUUAUGGAUGGACCCGCGUCGCAUUAGCUAGUUGGUGAGGUAACGGCUCACCAAGGCAACGAUGCGUAGCCGACCUGAGAGGGUGAUCGGCCAACCUGGGACUGAGACACGGCCCAGACUCCUACGGGAGGCAGCAGUAGGGAAUCUUCCGCAAUGGACGAAAGUCUGACGGAGCAACGCCGCGUGAGUGAUGAAGGCUUUCGGGUCGUAAAACUCUGUUGUUAGGGAAGAACAAGUGCUAGUUGAAUAAGCUGGCACCUUGACGGUACCUAACCAGAAAGCCACGGCUAACUACGUGCCAGCAGCCGCCGUAA